rnacentral:rRNA from 1 species
CACAUACAAGUCGAGCGAGGUGUCAAAGAAUGAAACUUCGGUAGAUUUCUUUUUCGGAAAGCGGCGGACGGGUGAGUAACGCGUAGGCAACCUGCCCUUCACAUGGGGGAUAGCCACCGGAAACGGUGAUUAAGACCCCAUAACGCGAAGAUGUCACAUGGCAAUUUCGCCAAAGAUUUAUCGGUGAAGGAUGGGCCUGCGUCUGAUUAGCUGGUUGGUGAGGUAACGGCCUACCAAGGCGACGAUCAGUAGCCGAACUGAGAGGUUGAUCGGCCACAUUGGAACUGAGACACGGUCCAGACUCCUACGGGAGGCAGCAGUGGGGAAUAUUGCACAAUGGGCGAAAGCCUGAUGCAGCAACGCCGCGUGAGUGAUGAAGGCCUUCGGCUCGUAAAGCUCUGUCCUCAGGGACGAAGGAAGUGACGGUACCUGAGGAGGAAGCCCCGGCUAACUACGUGCCAGCAGCCGCGGUAAUACGUAGGGGGCAAGCGUUAUCCGGAAUCAUUGGGCGUAAAGCGUGCGUAGGUGGUUUCUUAAGCGCGGGGUUUAAGGCUACGGCUCAACCGUAGUUCGCCCCGUGAACUGGGAGACUUGAGUGCAGGAGGGGAAAGUGGAAUUCCUAGUGUAGCGGUGAAAUGCGUAGAUAUUAGGAGGAACACCAGUGGCGAAGGCGACUUUCUGGACUGUUACUGACACUGAGGCACGAAAGCGUGGGGAGCAAACAGGAUUAGAUACCCUGGUAGUCCACGCCGUAAACGAUGAGCACUAGGUGUCGGGGUCGCAAGACUUCGGUGCCGCAGUUAACGCAUUAAGUGCUCCGCCUGGGGAGUACGUACGCAAGUAUGAAACUCAAAGGAAUUGACGGGGACCCGCACAAGCAGCGGAGCAUGUGGUUUAAUUCGAAGCAACGCGAAGAACCUUACCAGGCCUUGACAUGUCCCCGGAAACUGAUGAUAACGAAGAAGCCUCUCGGACCGAC